CCUACGGGAGGCAGCAGUGGGGAAUCUUGCACAAUGGGGGAAACCCUGAUGCAGCAACGCCGCGUGAAGGAAGACGGUUUUCGGAUUGUAAACUUCUGUUCUUAGUGAAGAAUAAUGAGGGAAGCUAAGGAGCAAGCUACGGCUAACUACGUGCAAGCAGCCGCGGUAAUACGUAGGUGGCAAGCGUUGGCCGGAAUUAUUGGGUGUAAAGGGAGCGCAGGCGGGAAGCCAAGUCAGCUGUGAAAACUACGGGCUUAACUUGUAGACUGCAGUUGAAACUGGUUUUCUUGAGAGCAGUAGAGGUUAGCGGAAUUCCGAGUGUAGCGGUGAAAUGCGUAGAUAUUCGAAGGAACACCGGUGGCGAAGGCGGCCAACUGGGCUUUAACUGACGCUGAGGCUCGAAAGUGUAGGGAGCAAACAGGAUUAGAUACCCGUGUAGUC
rnacentral:rRNA from 1 species